CAAUUUUGUAACCGGGAGGAAAAUUGGGAACCUUCAAUAAAUGACGUGAUAUGUUCAACACAUUUCCUAGAAAAUGAUUAUCUAAUGCCAAUUAAUAAUUUGGUUGGUGCUAAAGUGUCUCGAAGACUUCUUCUUCCUAAUGCUAUUCCAACAAUUAAAACUGCAUUGCAUACUGCAAUGAGUAAUCAACAGGAGGAAGAUUUGGAAAACUUUCCUCCCUUAACAUCUAUUCCUGUUACGGCAAGCAAUGAUGCAUCCGUAAGCACAACGCAAUCCACGAACACAAACAAUUCUCAGGAAAUACAGAAACUUAGAGAAGCUAAUUUGCGAUUAAAAGCAACCUUAAACUACGUUACUUCUGAAAAUUUUAAACUAAAACAAAAAGUUUUAAAUUUAGAAAAGGAACUUAACUUUUUGAAGAAUUCUUGCAUCCAUCCGAACGAUCUGAUUGACAAAAUGAAAAACCUUUUACAAGGCACACUAUCAUCAAAUCAGAUUGCUUUGAUUACGGAAGAAAAGAAACUAGUAGUAAGAUACAAUGUGCAGUAACAAGAGUAAUGAACACAAUGUGAUCAACUUUAAUGAAGCCAAAUUAUAAAUAUUAACAUAAGUUUACAAACAAGUUUUCCUAUAUACUAAAGCAGAGAGCAAUAAGAGCCGGUCUCUACAUAUCUCAA